GCUGAGCAUGGUGACACGUACCUGUAGUCCCAGCUACUCAGGAGGCUGAGCCAAGUGGAUCACUUGAGCCUAGGGGUUCUCAGCUGUAGCAUGCUAUGCUAAUUGGGCGUCCAUACUAAGUUUGGCAUCAAUAUAAUGACCUCUCCAAGCAGGGACCACCAGGUUGCCUAAUUAGGGGUGAAACAGUCAAGGUCAGAAACAGAACAAGUCAAAAUCCCCAUGCUGAUCAGCAGUGGGAUUGUAUCUGUGAGUAGCCACUGCAAUCCAGCCUGGGAAACAGUGAGACCCAAGUGUU
rnacentral:SRP_RNA from 1 species